rnacentral:rRNA from 1 species
ACGAAGGUGGCGAGCGUUGUUCGGAAUUACUGGGCUUAAAGGGCGCGUAGGCGGCCCAUCAAGUGCCUUGUGAAAUCCCUCGGCUCAACCGAGGAAUUGCUUGGUAGACUGAUGGGCUUGAGGUAGGCAUGAGUGAGUGGAACUCUUGGUGGAGCGGUGGAAUGCGUAGAUAUCAAGAGGAACGCCGGCGGUGAAGACGACUCACUGGGCCUGUCCUGACGCUGAGGCGCGAAAGCCAGGGGAGCAAACGG